rnacentral:tRNA from 1 species
GCCCGCAUGGUGGAAUUGGUAGACACAAGGGACUUAAAAUCCCUCGGUGAAAAACCGUACCGGUUCAAGUCCGGUUGCGGGUA